rnacentral:tRNA from 1 species
GGGCCUGUAGUCUAGCCUGGAUAGGACGGAAGGCUUCGGACCUUCAAACCCCGGUUCGAAUCCGGGCAGGCUCG